rnacentral:lncRNA from 13 species
CUGGCGCUGACUCCAGGCCAGAACAGGAAAGGCUGUCUCCACCCACCUCUCGCACUCUCCUUCUCUUUAUAAAGGCGGGAACAGCUGAAAGGGUGGCAACUUUUCUUCCUGCAGCCGGGAGCGGCCCGCCUGCGUGCCCGCAGCCUCCCCCGCUGCCUCCCUAGGGCUCCCCUCUGGCCGCCAGUACCAUUUUUGAUUCCCGAGGUAGAGAUAUUUUGCGCGCACACACAUACAUACACGCGCAAAAAGAAAAAAAAAAAGCCCACCCUCAAGCCUCGUUGCAAAGAGAAAACCGGAGCAGCCGCAGCUCGCAACCCGCAGAGGACGCCCAGAGCGGCGAGCCAGCAGGCAGGCAGACGGACCGACGGACUCCCGCCGCGUCCACCUGUCGGCCGAACCCGGCCAAGGGCAGAGUGGGCAUGCCGCGUGCGCGCGCGGAGCAGCCGUGCCCGCCGACCGGGGACCCGCGCCAGGGUGCACACGCUCCCGCCCCCCCACCCGACCCGGGCGGGAGUUUGCACCUCUCCCUGCCCGGGUACUCGAGCCGCCAGUUGCAAAGCCAACUUUGGAAAAAGUUUUUUGGGGGAGACUUGGGCCUUGAGGUGUCCAGCCCUGCGCUUUCCUAUUUUUGGGGCCUUUUCAGAAAAUGUUGCAAAAAUGCUAAGCCGGCGGGCAGAGGAAAACGCCUUUAGCCUGCGAGUGAAGACGAACCAUCGACUGCCGUGUUCCUUUUCCUCUUGGAGGUUGGAGUCCCCUGGGCGCCCCCACACGGCUAGACGCCUCGGUAUGUUCGCGAUGCAGCGCCCCCCUCACUCGGGCUCGGGAUCCGCCCAGGUAGCGGCCUCAGACCCAGGUCCUGUGCCCAGGUCCUCCCCUGCCCCCCAGCAACCGAGCCGAGGAGGGGGGGCAGCGGCGCCCGGGGGCCGUGUGGGUGAGCCGCAGCUGCAGCGGCCUGAGCGCCUGAUCGCCGAGGACCCGAGCCGAGCCCACCCCCCUCCCCAGCCACCCCCACCCUGGCCCUGGGGGCGGCGCGCUCGCUUUAUGUGUCCCGGGCCCCGCGGGGCCGGGCCCGGAGUCGGCAUCGCUGCUGGGAGCUCUUCCUGUCUCUCUGCUGCUACCUGCGUCUGGUCAGCGCCGAGAUCCUCUUCAACAACUCUGUCACCAACAAGUCGAACAGCUUCCUCACCGGCGUGAUCGGCUGCAUCCCAGCCCAUGACCCCGACCUGUCGGACAGCCUCAACUACACCUUCCUUCGUGGCAACGAACUGCACCUGUUGCUACUGGACCCCACCGCGGGCGAGCUGCAGCUCAGCCGGGACCUGGACAACAAGCGGCCACUGGAGGCGCUCAUCCCCGAGGUGUCUGUGUCUGGUGAGUGGCCGUUGGGGCUGGAGGAGCGGCUCUGGAUGGGCCGCCUGGAGAACCUCAGGAACCCACCGAGGGCCUUGCCUGGCAUGCCGGGGUGCAUUUGGGUCGGGCGUGGGGAGCUCUGCAAGGAUUUGUUGCCUCCAGUUAGAUGUUGGGGCAAGCGCCCCACUUAGGCCCAGCUGGGGGAGAGGCACCGCGCUACAUCUGUCAGCAUUUUCUUGGGAAAAUGCCCGCGCUUCUCCAAGUUCAAGACCAGGGCUCAGCGCCUUCCUCAGCAAGCUAGUGGCUCCUGAGUACAGCUAUUAAAAUGUGGCCUCCGGGUGAUCUGGGUCACAGGGUUUGCUUGUGUAUGCUCUUUCAUCAGCCAGCCACAGGGCUCUCUGGGAAGAUCAGAGAUCACUGCCCCUUCCAUGUGCCAAUUAAUUCCAGGGUGGCACCGUUGGAGAUUGUCAGACGGCCCCUGAGUCACCCUGUGAUGUAGCCAGUGUCCCCUUGGUCUUGCUUUUCUGUCUCCUCGAGAUAAUAACAGUUGGGUGGCUGUGUGCAGGGCUUUGUGUGAGCUCUUUGAAAAGCAUAGCCUCAUCUCACCUUGGCUUCUGCUCCUGGACACGGGCUUGUAAUUUGGGAGCUGUUGAAGAGGCCUGCCCAGUUAGUGGUAGAGCCAGUGUGGGUAGCUUGCUUGCCGGCCCUGGGGCUGGAGGUGCACAGAAGGGAGAGGAAACCUUGGCUCUGUGGUCAGAUGAUUGGCAGGUCCUCCACGUUUCUGACCCCGAGGGCCAGGGCUGGCCUGUGGUGCUGGGGGGGUGGUGCGUACUAAUAGAAUGUG